rnacentral:rRNA from 1 species
GAUAAGGGUAGCAUUACACAUGCAGUCGAACGAUGAACCGGUUUCGGCCGGGGAUUAGUGGCGAACGGGUGAGUAACACGUGGGCAAUCUGCCCUGCACUCUGGGACAAGCCCUGGAAACGGGGUCUAAUACCGGAUAUGACCGUCUUGGGCAUCCUUGACGGUGUAAAGCUCCGGCGGUGCAGGAUGAGCCCGCGGCCUAUCAGCUUGUUGGUGAGGUAGUGGCUCACCAAGGCGACGACGGGUAGCCGGCCUGAGAGGGCGACCGGCCACACUGGGACUGAGACACGGCCCAGACUCCUACGGGAGGCAGCAGUGGGGAAUAUUGCACAAUGGGCGGAAGCCUGAUGCAGCGACGCCGCGUGAGGGACGACGGCCUUCGGGUUGUAAACCUCUUUCAGCAGGGAAGAAGCGCAAGUGACGGUACCUGCAGAAGAAGCGCCGGCUAACUACGUGCCAGCAGCCGCGGUAAUACGUAGGGCGCAAGCGUUGUCCGGAAUUAUUGGGCGUAAAGAGCUCGUAGGCGGCUUGUCGCGUCGGUUGUGAAAGCCCGGGGCUUAACCCCGGGUCUGCAGUCGAUACGGGCAGGCUAGAGUUCGGUAGGGGAGAUCGGAAUUCCUGGUGUAGCGGUGAAAUGCGCAGAUAUCAGGAGGAACACCGGUGGCGAAGGCGGAUCUCUGGGCCGAUACUGACGCUGAGGAGCGAAAGCGUGGGGAGCGAACAGGAUUAGAUACCCUGGUAGUCCACGCCGUAAACGGUGGGCACUAGGUGUGGGCAACAUUCCACGUUGUCCGUGCCGCAGCUAACGCAUUAAGUGCCCCGCCUGGGGAGUACGGCCGCAAGGCUAAAACUCAAAGAAUUGACGGGGCCCGCACAGCGGCGGAGCAUGUGGCUUAUUCGACGCAACGCGAAGAACCUUACCAAGCUUGACAUACGCCGAAAGCAUCAAAAUGGUGCCCCCCUUGUGUCGGUGGUACAGUGGGUGCAUGGCUGUCGUCGCUCGUGUCGUGGGAUGUGGGUUAGUCCGCUACGAGCCAACCUUGUCCCGCUCUUGCACCAGGCCCUUGGUGCUGGUGACUCCCUGGAAACGCGCGGUCCACUGC